AGGAGUUAUAAACCACAAAUUCACAUAAAAAAAAUUCGAAUUUCCAAAUUUUAUAUUUUUUAUGCUCGUUUAAUUCGGCCAAAUGAUUUUUGGCCGAGUGCGAGGGAGCCUGGGUUGAUGACGUAGAUGGAGUAACUCGUCCUUCGGUAAAUACAAAGUUUACUGUACAAGUUCCACAUAUUUCAUUACAAAUCUAUGUUUUCUAAGACUGAACGUGGGAUAAUCCAGCCUGAAACGGCAAAUCUAAUGCUACUAGAGAUUAUUCUGACGAUUUGAACGUUAUUUCAUGUCUUGGCUAUAAAAAUGGAGCCAAAGUGUUGAGAGAUUAUUCUGGACAAACAAGUGUUGCGUAUAGAUCUAGAUAAAUAUCGAGGAACAGGAAAAGUUAUUUACGGCCCCAGGUAUCUAUCGUUGUCUCUCGAAUGACUUACUCCCUCUACGUCAUCACGAAGACAUUGAUCAGGCACACAGGAAUCCCGAAAUUGGCUUUGUCCGCGGUUGUUUUCGCUUCAAAAUGUAGUUUAAAUAAACGAAAUCAAAUUUGUUUGUA
rnacentral:lncRNA from 1 species